rnacentral:rRNA from 1 species
AUGCUGGGCUCGAUCGUUUGUUAUGGGCACUCAGAGGCUGCAAAAGGCGCACGUGCGCGAGAUAAGAACACGUGUCUGUUCACGCAGCGGCGGCAGUUACUUGUACGUACCUGGAUGGGCAGCGCGUCCAUGUCGGCCCGGAGCGCGACGACGGGCGGCCGGCCGGUGCCGAUGGUGGCGACGACGCCGGUGCGCGCCAGCGGGUACCGGAAGCCGACGCCCAUGCCGUCCAGCUCCUCGCGGACCAGCCGGCUCGUCUCCACCUCCUCGUACGCCAGCUCGGGCCGCUCGUGGAUCCGGCGCCGCACCCGCCGCAGCCACGCCGCCAUCUCCGGCCGCCCCGCCAGCCCCGCGAUCUCCUCCUUCCACCCGGACGCACCGCGCUCGCGCGACGACCCGCCGACGACGGCGGAGAUGGCGACGUCGACGUUGUCGCAGAUGGGGCCGCCCCGCCCGCUGGCGUUGGCGCCCUUGCCCAGCCUCGCCACGGCGCCGAGGACCACGUCGUCCUCCAGGAACGCCGCCGGCGACGAGGGGCCAGCCGACGCCACCACGAGCGGCGCCGCCAGCAGCACCAGCAAGAGAAGCACGGAGGUCGGACGCCCGCCCUCCAUCAACGGCGAUGGCGCUGCGCUGCACUGCUGCCGCUGGCUGAGCUCUGCGCGUGUCCGGGCACGAACAGGGUCGGAUGGCUAUACCACAACGAGGACACAACUAUGCAUGAUGGGCAGCGAGCGCACACUGGAGCGGGGGGGAGGGUUAAAUUAG